GUCUAUGGCCAUAUCACCCCAAAUUCACCCAAUCUUGUCUGAUCUUGGAAGCUAAGCAAGCUCAGGCCUGGUAAGUACUUGGAUGGGAGAAAAACAAAGUUGACAUUGGUC
rnacentral:rRNA from 1 species